UCGCUGCGCCGUCACAAAACACGCUCGUGUGAAUACACGGUAAGUGGAAGCGUUUCUUACAACCGCCAGUCGGACCAGUCAGUCUCGUUUGAAAUGUCAGAAUGAAGACGCGGAUCUGAAGCCAAAUCGCCCUUCACCUUCAGGAUUUUUGCCGUUUCAGGCAACCUGGACAACGACAGUGAGAUAGAACGCCAGAUAAACCCGUCGGCGACUGUAUGCUUUGUGCAAACGGUAUGUCUCUACACUACUCUACAUGGGUUUCCUGUCAUCGUGUUUUCUGGAACGAUAUUUCUUGCAGGUUGAGCGUAUAUGACGCAGCGGCCUCCCGCAAGAGAGACGCAAGCAUCGUGUUCAAUGUGGUGGAGACUCUUGCUUGUCAUGACUGGGUUUACAAGUGCUUUUGCGGAAGGAAGACAAGGUGGAAACAAGGACCUAUAGGUGUGCUCUUUUUCGUUGCUGUUCAAACUUCGAUCAUUACCAAGUUCGUGCCCCCAUGCAUUCAACCCUCAGGUGUGUUGAUGAUAAAUGGAUAUGCUUUCAAAGGUACGUACUCGUGAGUGGUGAAUAAAGUGAUUUGUUGCUGCUA